UUUGUUACUUCAAACCAAUCGGACUUCGGUCUGAACUCAUGUGAUACUGAACAAUUUAGCUGAUCGCACGGUCCAAGCACCGGCGACAUAUCCUUCAAAUGUCUGCCUUAUCAACUUUCGAUGGUAGAUUAUGCGCCUACCAUGGUUGUAACGGGUAACGGAGAAUCAGGGUUUGAUUCCGGAGAGGGAGCCUGAGAAACGGCUACCACAUCCAAGGAAGGCAGCAGGCACGCAAAUUACCCACUCCCGGCACGGGGAGGUAGUGACGAAAAAUAACAAGCUGGUCUAAUGAGUUCCGGCAUUGUAAUGGGAACAAUUUAAAUCAUUUAUCGAGGAUCUAUUGGAGGGCAAGUCUGGUGCCAGCAGCCGCGGUAAUUCCAGCUCCAAUAGCGUAUAUUAAAGUUGUUGCGGUUAAAAAGCUCGUAGUUGGAUCUAGGAUUAGGGAUACGGUCGUUCAGCUGGACGCACUGUAUGCCCGACUCCUUUUCUCUAGUAUUCGAUUGUUGCUCUUAAAUGAGUGACUUUAGUUGCUGGAACUUUUACCUUGAAAAAAUUGAAGUGCUCAAAGCAGGUUUU
rnacentral:rRNA from 1 species